rnacentral:rRNA from 1 species
UUCGAAGAUACACGAAGAACCUUACCUGGUCCUUGACAUGGUAGGAACCUUAAGAGAUUAGGGGUGCUAGCUUGCUAGAACCUACACACAGGUGCUGCACGGCUGUCGUCAGCUCGUGUCGUGAGAUGUUGGGUUAAGUCCCGCAACGAGCGCAACCCUCGUCCUUAGUUGCUAACAGUUCGGCUGAGCACUCUAGGGAGACUGCCUUCGCAAGGAGGAGGAAGGUGAGGACGACGUCAAGUCAUCAUGGCCCUUACGGCCAGGGCUACACACGUGCUACAAUGGGGCGUACAGAGAGCUGCGAUACCGCGAGGUGGAGCCAAUCUCUUAAAGCGUCUCUCAGUUCGGAUUGUUCUCUGCAACUCGAGAACAUGAAGCUGGAAUCACUAGUAAUCGCAGAUCAGCUAUGCUGCGGUGAAUACGUUCCCGGGUCUU